GACGUAGGGGGCCAGCGUUGUUCGGAAUUACUGGGUGUAAAGGGUUCGUAGGCGGUGCGGCAAGUCGGGAGUGAAAUCUCUGGGCUUAACCCAGAGGCUGCUUCCGAAACUGCUGUGCUUGAGUGUGGGAGAGGCGCGUGGAAUUGCAGGUGUAGCGGUGAAAUGCGUAGAUAUCUGCAGGAACACCCGUGGCGAAAGCGGCGCGCUGGGCCACUACUGACGCUGAGUGAACGAAAGCUAGGGGAGCAAACAGG
rnacentral:rRNA from 1 species